ACGGCAGCACGGAGCUUGCUCUGGUGGCGAGUGGCGAACGGGUGAGUAAUAUAUCGGAACGUACCCUGGAGUGGGGGAUAACGUAGCGAAAGUUACGCUAAUACCGCAUACGAUCUAAGGAUGAAAGUGGGGGAUCGCAAGACCUCAUGCUCGUGGAGCGGCCGAUAUCUGAUUAGCUAGUUGGUAGGGUAAAAGCCUACCAAGGCAUCGAUCAGUAGCUGGUCUGAGAGGACGACCAGCCACACUGGAACUGAGACACGGUCCAGACUCCUACGGGAGGCAGCAGUGGGGAAUUUUGGACAAUGGGCGCAAGCCUGAUCCAGCAAUGCCGCGUGAGUGAAGAAGGCCUUCGGGUUGUAAAGCUCUUUUGUCAGGGAAGAAACGGUGAGGGCUAAUAUCCCUUGCUAAUGACGGUACCUGAAGAAUAAGCACCGGCUAACUACGUGCCAGCAGCCGCGGUAAUACGUAGGGUGCAAGCGUUAAUCGGAAUUACUGGGCGUAAAGCGUGCGCAGGCGGUUUUGUAAGUCUGAUGUGAAAUCCCCGGGCUCAACCUAGGAAUUGCAUUGGAGACUGCAAGGCUAGAAUCUGGCAGAGGGGGGUAGAAUUCCACGUGUAGCAGUGAAAUGCGUAGAUAUGUGGAGGAACACCGAUGGCGAAAGCAGCCCCCUGGGUCAAGAUUGACGCUCAUGCACGAA
rnacentral:rRNA from 1 species